rnacentral:lncRNA from 1 species
ACCUUUCUCCAUGCACAAAGUAUUUUUGUGUGAAAUUUUUUAUACCAUUCUAAUAUUGUUCAACCACUAUCUAAGUUUUUAAAUAAAGAUAAAAUUUAAUUCAAAGUUUAAUUCAAAUUUGAUUUGAAUUGAUGAUAAGGAUCAACCAAUGUUUGAACUUAAACCAAAACUACCUUAUUCUUAUCCUUAUCUUUCAUGGGAUGCCACCC